rfam:Gossypium hirsutum cultivar TM-1 chromosome 19, whole genome shotgun sequence
CACGUCAGAGUGCUUUGCCGACGUGGCAACAAAUCGCGCUUACGUGGACACAAUUUGUUGCCACAUCAGCAAAGCGCUCUGAUGUGG